ACCCUAUGAUCACCUUGGUGGCCUCCUCUGGACUCUCUCAGCAGCUCUGUGUCCUUGCUGUGGUGGGAGCCCAGGGCCGGAGGCAGCUCUGCAGGAAAUGGAUUAUCAGAGGGAAGAUACAAAAUGUUAUAUUCAUACAUUUAAAUUUAACAAGCUAUGGCAGAAGUACUCUGUACAACCGAAAAGUUUUCAUAUUCUUCCUCCUGUUUCACAGCAUUCCACUGACAACAAAAGAGGUAUAAUAGUUUAAAUGACAGAGGAAGUGUGUUUCUGGAAAAGUUGUGGUCAAACCAAUCAGUGGCCAGAUUUGAAACUGGCACCUGGGGUGGCCACUGAGGAUUUGGAUACGCCUCUUGAGAACACACAGGGGUUAAAAGCAGAGCAUUCCCAGAGAGACUUGCUGUUUGGAGUCCAGUGGUGAGUGGAGUCUGACCUCUCCCCUGCCCAUCUGUGUUUGGGUGGGGGAGGGGGAGGCCAUGCAGCCUGAGGGAAGGGAGGCCAGAGCCCUGA